UGGGGAAUAUUGGACAAUGGGGGCAACCCUGAUCCAGCAAUGCCGCGUGAGUGAAGAAGGCCUUCGGGUUGUAAAGCUCUUUUGUCAGGGAAGAAACGGUGGUGGCGAAUAACUACUACUAAUGACGGUACCUGAAGAAUAAGCACCGGCUAACUACGUGCCAGCAGCUGCGGUAAUACGUAGGGUGCAAGCGUUAAUCGGAAUUACUGGGCGUAAAGCGUGCGCAGGCGGUUGUGUAAGUCAGAUGUGAAAUCCCCGGGCUCAACCUGGGAAUUGCAUUUGAGACUGCACGGCUAGAGUGUGUCAGAGGGGGGUAGAAUUCCACGUGUAGCAGUGAAAUGCGUAGAUAUGUGGAGGAAUACCGAUGGCGAAGGCAGCCCCCUGGGAUAACACUGACGCUCAUGCACGAAAGCGUGGGGAGCAAACAGGAUUAGAUACCCGUAGUCCCUGAGCGGGCUGGCAAGGCGCAU
rnacentral:rRNA from 1 species